UACGUAGGGUGCAAGCGUUGUCCGGAAUUAUUGGGCGUAAAGAGCUCGUAGGCGGUCUGUCGCGUCCGCUGUGAAAACUCGAGGCUCAACUUCGAGCUGUCGGUGGAAACUUUCUGGCUAGAGUCCGGAAGAGGAGAAUGGAAUUCCUGGUGUAGCGGUGAAAUGCGCAGAUAUCAGGAAGAACACCCGUGGCGAAGGCGGUUCUCUGGGACGGUACUGACGCUGAGACGCGAAAGCGUGGGGAGCGAUCCGG
rnacentral:rRNA from 1 species